UACGGGGGGGGCAAGCGUUGUUCGGAAUUACUGGGCGUAAAGGGCUCGUAGGCGGCCAACUAAGUCAUACGUGAAAUCCCUCGGCUUAACCGGGGAACUGCGUCUGAUACUGGAUGGCUUGAGUUCGGGAGAGGGAUGCGGAAUUCCAGGUGUAGCGGUGAAAUGCGUAGAUAUCUGGAGGAACACCGGUGGCGAAGGCGGCAUCCUGGACCGGUAUUGACACUGAGGCGCGAAAGCCAGGGGAGCAAACGGG
rnacentral:rRNA from 1 species